UGGAAGCCGAGCUUCUUCGACGCUGCGAUCUUCAUCGUUUCGCCGGUGCGCGGGUUGCGACCUUCGCGCUCCGGACGAGCCUGGACCUUGAACUUGCCGAAGCCCGGAAGCGAGACUUCCUCGCCGGCCACGGCCGCAUCGGUGAU
rnacentral:sRNA from 1 species